rnacentral:lncRNA from 1 species
UAAAACCAUAAAAACCCUAGAAGAAAACCUAGGCAAUACCAUUCAGGACAUAGGCAUGGGCAAAGACUUCAUGACUAAAACACCAAAAGCAAUGGUAACAAAAGCCAACACUGACAAAUGGGUGAACAGGCAACCUAUAGAAUGGGAGAAAAAUUUUGCAAUCUAUCCAUCUGACAAAGGGCUAAUAUCCAGAAUCUACAAGAAACUUAAACAAAUUUACAAGAAAAAACAAUCAUAAAUUUGUAUUUUUCAUUAAAUUGCUUGAAUUUCUGAGUCGUGGCGGGACGGAAUUCAGCUAAGAAUUUAUGCAUCAACACUUGCUAUCAAGUUACAGGUGUUACUCAUAUUAACAAAUAGAACUUUAAUUUGUUGAUGGUUGAGACACCAUCUGGACUUGGUUAGAUGGUACAACACAAAUCUUAGGGGACACUUGACAGAGUUUCAUUCCUUAGGUGGUGAGGAGGAA